GAUGAACGCUGGCGGCGUGCCUAAUACAUGCAAGUCGAGCGAACGGACGAGAAGCUUGCUUCUCUGAUGUUAGCGGCGGACGGGUGAGUAACACGUGGAUAACCUACCUAUAAGACUGGGAUAACUUCGGGAAACCGGAGCUAAUACCGGAUAAUAUUUUGAACCGCAUGGUUCAAAAGUGAAAGACGGUCUUGCUGUCACUUAUAGAUGGAUCCGCGCUGCAUUAGCGAGUUGGUAAGGUAACGGCUUACCAAGGCAACGAUGCAUAGCCGACCUGAGAGGGUGAUCGGCCACCCUGGAACUGAGACACGGUCCAGACUCCUACGGGAAGCAGCCGUAGGGAAUCUUGCGCAAUGGGCGAAAACCUGACGGAGCAGCGCCGCGUGAGUGAUGAAGGUCUUCGGAUCGUAAAACUCUGUUAUUAGGGAAGAACAUAUGUGUAAGUAACUGUGCACAUCUUGACGGUACCUAAUCAGAAAGCCACGGCUAACUACGUG
rnacentral:rRNA from 1 species